CAUAUAACGCUCUAAUCCUCUCUACAACAUCCCCACCAUAUUAAGUAGCUUUAUACAGUCUCAAAAGAAGUUUGUGUAGAAGAAGAGAAAUUGAUCGAUGGAGGCAAACAAAAGAAAACUUAGAGGCUUCAUGAGAGGGAAAUUGAUGCCUUUCUACAAGCAAUAUAAUGGAAGCAAAACAAAGCAAACUGGAUGACCCCGGUCGGGACACGACGGCCACUCGUGACUCAUUAAGUCAGUUUGAUCGUUCAUAUGGAAUCAUAGCUGACGAAGGUGUCGAUGUAAAGGCAGCAAAUUAUAUUUCCUCCACGUUAGCAAGAUUCAAAAGCUUGAAUGAGUUACCUCAUCCAAUAGAAUUGUCGUCGAUUCCAUUGCCCCACCAAUAGAUUUGAUGACCUUGUCGAGCACUUCUCUAUUAUUUAUCUUGGACUUUACUAGUUGAUUAUUAUUCUAAGUAAAGAACCGAUGCUCAUGUGGUUGGAUAUAGUGUUUCUCUCACGUAUAUAGAAGGUUUGAAUCCCCACCUUUUAUAUAUUUAUAAUGAAAAAAAACUUGAAUGCAUCUUCUCAUAUAUUUCUUAUCUCUCCAUAUACAAAAAUAAACGUACCAAAUAUUUAUAAAAAAAGUUGUCUUUGUGGUGGAGAGAUGGAAAGCAUUUGAGGAUGCAACUAACCCUUUUAUAAUUAUAAUUUUAUCACAAAACUAUUUUAUGAUUG